GAUGAACGCUGGCGGUAUGCUUAACACAUGCAAGUCGAACGGACUCUUCGGAGUUAGUGGCGGACGGGUGAGUAACGCGUGAGAAUCUGGCUUUGGGUUCGGGACAACCACUGGAAACGGUGGCUAAUACCGGAUGUGCCGAGAGGUAAAAGAGAAAUUGCCUGAGGAUGAGCUCGCGUCUGAUUAGCUAGUUGGUGAGGUAAAGGCUCACCAAGGCAGCGAUCAGUAGCUGGUCUGAGAGGAUGACCAGCCACACUGGGACUGAGACACGGCCCAGACUCCUACGGGAGGCGGCAGUGGGGAAUUAUACGCAAUGGGCGAAAGAAUGACGAAGCAAUACCGCGUGAGGGAAGAAGGAUGUUGGGUUGUAAACAUCUUUUCUUAGGGAAGAACAAAAUGACGGUACCUAAGGAAUAAGCAUCGGCUAACUCCGUG
rnacentral:rRNA from 1 species